rnacentral:rRNA from 1 species
UGGGGAAUUUUGGACAAUGGGCGAAAGCCUGAUCCAGCAAUGCCGCGUGUGUGAAGAAGGCCUUCGGGUUGUAAAGCACUUUUGUCCGGAAAGAAAUCCUUGGCUCUAAUACAGUCGGGGGAUGACGGUACCGGAAGAAUAAGCACCGGCUAACUACGUGCCAGCAGCCGCGGUAAUACGUAGGGUGCAAGCGUUAAUCGGAAUUACUGGGCGUAAAGCGUGCGCAGGCGGUUUGCUAAGACCGAUGUGAAAUCCCCGGGCUCAACCUGGGAACUGCAUUGGUGACUGGCAGGCUAGAGUAUGGCAGAGGGGGGUAGAAUUCCACGUGUAGCAGUGAAAUGCGUAGAGAUGUGGAGGAAUACCGAUGGCGAAAGGCAGCCCCCUGGGCCAAAUACUGACGCUCAUGCACGAAAGCGUGGGGAGCAAAACAGGAUUAGAUACCCUGGUAGUCCACGCCCUAAAACGAUGUCAACUAGUUGUUGGGGAUUCAUUUCCUUAGUAACGUAGCUAACGCGUGAAGUUGACCGCCUGGGGGAGUACGGUCGCAAGAUUAAAAACUUAAAUGAAUUGACGGGGUCAUAGCUG